rnacentral:rRNA from 1 species
GACGAACGCUGGCGGCGUGCUUAACACAUGCAAGUCGAACGGCAAGGCCCUGCUUUUGUGGGGUGCUCGAGUGGCGAACGGGUGAGUAACACGCGAGUAACCUGCUCUUGACUUUGGGAUAACUUCAGGAAACUGGGGCUAAUACCGGAUAGGAGCUCCUGCUGCAUGGUGGGGGUUGGAAAGUUUCGGCGGUUGGGGAUGGACUCGCGGCUUAUCAGCUUGUUGGUGGGGUAGUGGCUUACCAAGGCUUUGACGGGUAGCCGGCCUGUGAGGGUGACCGGCCACAUUGGGACUGAGGUACGGCCCAGACUCCUACGGGAGGCAGCAGUGGGGAAUAUUGCACAAUGGGCGGAAGCCUGAUGCAGCAACGCCGCGUGCGGGAUGACGGCCUUCGGGUUGUAAACCGCUUUCGCCUGUGACGAAGCGUGAGUGACGGUAAUGGGUAAAGAAGCACCGGCUAACUACGUG